rnacentral:rRNA from 1 species
UAAGGAAUAUUGGUCAAUGGACGCAAGUCUGAACCAGCCAUGCCGCGUGAAGGAUUAAGGUCCUCUGGAUUGUAAACUUCUUUUAUCUGGGACGAAAAAAGGCUAUUCUUAGUCACUUGACGGUACCAGAUGAAUAAGCACCGGCUAACUCCGUGCCAGCAGCCGCGGUAAUACGGAGGGUGCAAGCGUUAUCCGGAUUCACUGGGUUUAAAGGGUGCGUAGGCGGGCAGGUAAGUCAGUGGUGAAAUCCUGGAGCUUAACUCCAGAACUGCCAUUGAUACUAUCUGUCUUGAAUAUUGUGGAGGUAAGCGGAAUAUGUCAUGUAGCGGUGAAAUGCUUAGAUAUGACAUAGAACACCUAUUGCGAAGGCAGCUUACUACGCAUAUAUUGACGCUGAGGCACGAAAGCGUGGGGAUCAAACAGGAUUAGAUACCCCCGUAGUCCCUGAGCGGGCUGGCAAGGCGCAU